AUACAACUAAAGAGUCCCGAAUAGUACGAAACGCGCGUCCUGUAU
rnacentral:hammerhead_ribozyme from 1 species